AACAGUGACACUCGGUGGCCACUCAGGGUAGUGCACAACCAAUUUCCCUCAUGGAGCAACGGUGACACUGGGUGGCCACUCAGGGUAAUGCAGAAAGCAUUCCCCUUAUGGAGCAACAGUGACACUCCGUGGCCAUUCAGGGUAAUGCACCAACCAUUUCCCUCAUGGAGCAACAGUGACACUGGGUGGCCACGCAGGGUAAUGCACCAACAAUUUCCCUCACAGAGCAACAGUGACACCAGCUGGCCAAUC